UACGGAGGGUGCGAGCGUUGUCCGGAAUCACUGGGCGUAAAGGGCGCGUAGGCGGUACUUCAAGUCAGGCGUGAAAGCCCCGGGCUCAACCUGGGAACCGCGCUUGAGACUGGAGAACUAGAGUUCGGGAGAGGAUGGUGGAAUUCCCAGUGUAGAGGUGAAAUUCGUAGAUAUUGGGAAGAACACCGAUGGCGAAGGCAGCCAUCUGGACCGACACUGACGCUGAGGCGCGAAAGCGUGGGGAGCAAACAGG
rnacentral:rRNA from 1 species